rnacentral:rRNA from 1 species
AACCUUUAUGUUAGACCUCAAAUCAGGUAGGACUACCCG